rnacentral:rRNA from 1 species
AACGCUGGCGGCGUGCCUAAUACAUGCAAGUCGAACGGUCUUUCUAUGGAAGCUUGCUUCCACUGAGAAGAUAGUGGCGAACGGGUGAGUAACACGUGGGUAACCUGCCCAUAAGAGGGGGAUAACAUCCGGAAACGGGUGCUAAUACCGCAUAGUUUUCUUGAUCGCAUGAUUGAGAAAGGAAAGACGGCCUUUGUGCUGUCGCUUAUGGAUGGACCCGCGGCGUAUUAGUUAGUUGGUGAGGUAAUGGCUCACCAAGACGAUGAUACGUAGCCGACCUGAGAGGGUGAUCGGCCACAUUGGGACUGAGACACGGCCCAAACUCCUACGGGAGGCAGCAGUAGGGAAUCUUCCGCAAUGGACGAAAGUCUGACGGAGCAACGCCGCGUGAGUGAAGAAAAGGUUUUCGGAUCGUAAAACUCUGUUGUCAGAGAAGAACAAGUUGGAGAGUAACUGCUCCAGCCUUGACGGUAUCUGACCAGAAAGCCACGGCUAACUACGUGCCAGCCGCAGC